AGAGUUUGAUCCUGGCUCAGGAUGAACGCUGACAGAAUGCUUAACACAUGCAAGUCUACUUGAACUUCGGUUUGGGUGGCGGACGGGGGAGUAACGCGUAAAGAACUUGCCUCACAGUUAGGGACAACAUUUGGAAACGAAUGCUAAUACCUGAUAUUAUGAUUUUAGGGCAUCCUAAGAUUAUGAAAGCUAUAUGCGCUGUGAGAGAGCUUUGCGUCCCAUUAGCUAGUUGGUGAGGUAACGGCUCACCAAGGCGAUGAUGGGUAGCCGGCCUGAGAGGGUGAACGGCCACAAGGGGACUGAGACACGGCCCUUACUCCUACGGGAGGCAGCAGUGGGGAAUAUUGGACAAUGGACCAAAAGUCUGAUCCAGCAAUUCUGUGUGCACGAUGACGUUUUUCGGAAUGUAAAGUGCUUUCAGUUGGGAAGAAAAAAAUGACGGUACCAACAGAAGAAGUGACGGCUAAAUACGUGCCAGCAGCCGCGGUAAUACGUAUGUCACAAGCGUUAUCCGGAUUUAUUGGGCGUAAAGCGCGUCUAGGUGGUUAUGUAAGUCUGAUGUGAAAAUGCAGGGCUCAACUCUGUAUUGCGUUGGAAACUGCAUGACUAGAGUACUGGAGAGGUAAGCGGAACUACAAGUGUAGAGGUGAAAUUCGUAGAUAUUUGUAGGAAUGCCGAUGGGGAAGCCAGCUUACUGGACAGAUACUGACGCUAAAGCGCGAAAGCGUGGGUAGCAAACAGGAUUAGAUACCCUGGUAGUCCACGCCGUAAACG
rnacentral:rRNA from 1 species